rnacentral:rRNA from 1 species
UACGUAGGGGCCGAGCGUUGUCCGGAGUUACUGGGCGUAAAGCGCGCGCAGGCGGCUCGUCAAGCCUGACGUGAAAGCCCCCGGCUCAACCGGGGAGGGUCGUCGGGGACUGGCGGGCUUGAGGUCGGCAGGGGUUGGUGGAAUUCCCGGUGUAGUGGUGAAAUGCGUAGAGAUCGGGAGGAACACCGGUGGCGAAGGCGGGUCUCUGGGCCGAUACUGACGCUGAGGAGCGAAAGCGUGGGGAGCGAACAGG